rnacentral:rRNA from 1 species
UACGUAGGGUGCGAGCGUUGUCCGGAAUUAUUGGGCGUAAAGGGCUCGUAGGCGGUCUGUCGCGUCGGGAGUGAAAACUCAGGGCUUAACCCUGAGCCUGCUUCCGAUACGGGCAGACUAGAGGUAUGCAGGGGAGAACGGAAUUCCUGGUGUAGCGGUGGAAUGCGCAGAUAUAAGGAAGAACACCGGUGGCGAAGGCGGCUCUCUGGGCCUUACCUGACGCUGAGGAGCGAAAGCGUGGGUAGCGAACAGG